AGAGAGGUGGCCGAGCGGUCGAAGGCGCACGCCUGGAAAGUGUGUAUACGCCAAAAGCGUAUCGAGGGUUCGAAUCCCUUCCUCUCUGCAA
rnacentral:tRNA from 1 species